CUUGUUUUUCCAUUAUCUUAUGCAUCGCUUUAGGGUUGCAUUUCUACAAUUUCUUCUCAAGAACACUUGUAAAUAAAAUUGAAAACAGAAAAAAUUUCUCAAGAACUACCAACCUAGAUAUUGUGUCGAAUAGCCUAGGGUAGAGCUCACCAACACCAUUGACAAACAACCUGAAGUCCGAAGUCAAAGUAUCAUUAUGAGUCUGAUUUUAUUUUAAAUAUCUAAUAUUUCCACUGUGCUUAGAAGGCCUAAAAUAGGCUAGAUGACAAGUUUCAGGGGCUAACUUGGCUUUAUGGCUACCGAAACCCAUCCCGAGUUGUCCUGGCAAAAAAUACCAGAGAUCUCAGUUUUUGGCCCGGGCGAAACCGAGACCUCAAACCUUGCUUCUAGUGACCUGAAUCAUAUAGGUCUUAGGAAUACCUCUCAUCCAAUAGGAAACAAGUAUUGAACAACCAGGGAAAUAAUAAACUGAACAGAAUAGAACUCCUACACAAUUCACUUAAGAGAGACCAAUUUGUACUGAAACUCUUAACAAAAGAAGGACAACAUGGAAUCCCUCUAAUCUGGAGCUCUUAAGCUCUAUUACAAGUUUACAAGUAAUAAAAUAAAGAAGAAAUUAAGCAAUAAAACUUCCUGUCCCACGAUGGGAGGACCCAUUCCUAGUUCAAUUUUGAACCAGAACUGUAUGGCUGCGGUGGCUGCUGAGUUAACUCAGAAUGCUAGGUUGAGUUACUGAGUUAACUCCUGGGUCUUCUUCCUCCUUUGGUACGUAAUCUGGAUCAUUAGAGGCUCUUGUUAUUUCUAAGAAAACUAAAAUGUAUCUGAUGGUUAUAUUUAUUGAACAGUACUGUGAUAAAAAGGUGAGUCAAAAGAUGGCGAGGGAAAUGCACGUCUCUUAUCCAGAGAUUCCUCACAUUUAAGAUAUUCUGAUCAGCCACAUCAGCCUCUAAUGUGACUGUAAACAUGUGCUCUUCAAGGUUCAAAGCACCUGGAAUCAUUACAGAAAACUUUAGGUCUUAAAUAAGGUCAUUACUAGAACGAAAUGUCCACUAUACAAAAUGAAUAUUUUAAGCCAUGCGCACAAAAAAAAAAUGAGUAUCAUCUAUUAAAAAGGAAAACAUGUGUUGAAAUUUUUAAAGAUAAGCCUACUAUGUUUUUUAAUGUGACCUGACCAGUUGGCCUGGAUCUAGUUAAUUCUAAGGAUAUAGGACAAGAACAACAGUGGGAUCCUGAACUUGGUAGUCAUUGAUCCAUAAAAGAUAUGGUGAUUAUGCUCAAAUGAAAAGAAUUCUAAUUCUAUCAAGUUGAUUGAUUCAAUUGAGUCUAAGUUAAACCUUGAUAAUGGGUCAACCAUCUUACUGAAACAUGGGAAUGAAAUUUGCAUAGGUGAAUGCUUCUGGGUUCGGCAAAUAUAGAACUCACCUGGUUGGUUUACAACACUGCAGGGUUGGGAUUUACCUAUAUGAAUUUGUGUUACCUGUCCAUCACAAUGUCCAAUUAGUUGGUAUCCCAUUCUUGAGUCGUUUGAUCCUGUAAGUAGUUCAUUUUCUCAUGCAGAUUCUGAAGGCGAAGAUGAGCAUGAAGAGUGAUCCCAUUCAAGAUUGACAGAAUUUACAUAUAAUUAUCAGCAAGGUUUUCAUACCCUGACCCCAUUGUUGCAUUCCAACGGUGAAUUGAUCUAUUGUUAAUACUUUCAAUGAAAGAAGCCCUUCACAUUUCAAGGUAGUGGAUAUAUUAGUUAAAAAGCAAGCAGUGGAGCAAAUUAGAGUAGAUGCCAACUGUUGGGAGAUUAUAUUCAUGGUUAGAAUCAUGGACUGCAGCACCAGUUUUCAUUGCUGAGAAAUAAGUAACUAAUUGUAAAUAAGUUCCAAGGCUUGAUGCUGUAAUAAAUAUAUAUAUAUAUAUAUAUUAAAUUAUUCUCAAGCCUAUCCUAACUGUGUUUGUGUAUCAUUAGUUCCUGUUGGAUCCUUUCAUUUGUGACUGAACUUCUUGGGAAAUUUUUUGAUGUAGUGAGAUGAGUCGUGUGGACAGAUGUUAGCCUGGGAGCUUGUGUAACAGUGUGAGUGCUCUGUUAUGUUCAAUUCAAGGAAAACAAAUCAUUACCCACCUGUCCAA